UUUUUUUUUUUUUUUUUUUUUUUUUUUUUUUUUUUCUC
rnacentral:ribozyme from 1 species